rnacentral:rRNA from 1 species
AUUGAACGCUGGCGGCAGGCCUAACACAUGCAAGUCGAGCGAGCGGCGGACGGGUGAGUAAUGUAUGGGGACUGCCCGAUAGAGGGGGGUAACUACUGGAAACGGUGGCUAAUACCGCAUACUGUAGGAUCACCACUAUGGGAUUAGCUCGUAGGUAAGGUAAUGGCUUACCUAGGCGACGAUCCCUAGCUGGUCUGAGAGGAUGAUCAGCCACACUGGGACUGAGACACGGCCCAGACUCCUACGGAGGCAGCAGUGGGGAAUAUUGCACAAUGGGCGCAAGCCUGAUGCAGCCAUGCCGCGUGUAUGAAGAAGGCCCUAGGGUUGUAAAGUACUUUCAGUCGGGAGGCGUUACCGACAGAAGAAGCACCGGCUAACUCCGUGCCAGCAGCCGCGGUAAUAC